UGCUAAUAUAAUAAUUCAAAGAUUUGUUUUUACCUUUCAUUAUUAAACAUUAAUUUUAUUAUUUGCAAAAACGCCUAUAUGAUAAUAUCACUUAAAGUAAUUAUCAAUCCUAUAUAAACGUUAGUUCAAAUUAUUUUAAGCACAAACUUUAGAGAAAGAUGAAGAUGAAACUUGUAACGUGCGUUUUCCUUUUCACAAUCUUAUUUCUACUACAGUCAACCAACGCUACUUUAAAGUUAGCAACUUUGACUGGCUACAAAUUGGGACGAUAUGGUUUAUUGGGACGCGGGGUAUACGAUACCGCGUACUAUGGUCGGGGCUACGUUCCACCACCCCCUUUUCCCCUUAAAACAUAAAUAUUUUCCUUUACUUUAUUUCUCAUAUUAAUAAACUUGGAUUACAUUUGUAACUUUAAAUUUGUUAAUAAUUUUAAUAGAGUUUUGUUAACAAAAGUUUUGUUCAGUGCCGGAAUUAUUUAAACUAGAAUUUAUUCAAUAGUUGUGCGGUUUUUUAUAUUAAUUACUAUUGAGUAUUCUUGAUACUAUAGUAAUCAGUUGUGACAUGUGCAUUAAUACCAAGCUAUGAAGACUAUUCUUGUUAUAUAAAAGUUUAGUGAUAAGUUAAAAUAUUAUGUGUU